AGUGUGUAUGCUAUAUAUUUUUAGUUACGCUUAUACUUGAUGUUGCAACAGAGACUUGCAUUGCAGAACCACAACAUAAAGGUUCACAUGCCAAGACGACAUUGGCAUUGAUCAUCAUGAUUGAACCAUGAAUUUCUUUGUGGAACUGAAGAGUCCACAACACUAAAUUAAUUUGCUCAUAGUUUCUGUGUGUCCAUGAGGACUAGGACAGCCGGAAGCUCG
rnacentral:lncRNA from 1 species